CGGGAGGCAGCAGUCGGGAAUAUUGCCCAAUGCGCGAAAGCGUGAGGCAGCAACGCCGCGUGCGCGAUGAAGGCCUUCGGGUCGUAAAGCGCUUUUCAGUGGGAUGAGGAAGGACAGUACCACUGGAAUAAGGUACGGCUAACUACGUGCCAGCAGCCGCGGUAAAACGUAGGUACCGAGCGUUAUCCGGAUUUACUGGGCGUAAAGCGUGUUCAGGCGGUCUAGCAAGUCGGGCAUGAAAUCUCUCGGCUCAACCGGGAGGGGUUGUCCGAUACUGCUGGACUGGAGGGCAGCAGAGGGUGGUGGAAUUCCGGGUGUAGUGGUGAAAUGCGUAGAUAUCCGGAGGAACACCAGUGGCGAAGGCGGCCACCUGGGCUGUACCUGACGCUAACACACGAAAGCUAGGGGAGCGAACGGGAUUAGAAACCCCGGUAGUCCUAGCCGUAAACGAUGUUGACUAGGUGUCGACGGUC
rnacentral:rRNA from 1 species